rnacentral:snoRNA from 2 species
ACGACCUUACUUGAACAUGAUCUGUUCUAUAGGCUCGUACCACUGUAUCCUUGAUUUUUAAGGAGACAAGAAACCAAGUCUGGUUGAUGAAGCAUGGCCAUUUGACCAGAGCGUGAUUAACAGCCUACCAUGGCUCCUCGAGCUGUGGUGCAGUAGAUGAUCGUUCUUGGACCUGAUUUCAGGCCUAGGAUGGUCCCAUGGCUGUCUGACAGACU